rnacentral:rRNA from 1 species
CUUUCCCUCUUUCUUCAGGCCUAACACAUGCAAGUCGAACGGUAACAGGAAGCAGCUUGCUGCUUUGCUGACGAGUGGCGGACGGGUGAGUAAUGUCUGGGAAACUGCCCGAUGGAGGGGGAUAACUACUGGAAACGGUAGCUAAUACCGCAUAACGUCGCAAGACCAAAGAGGGGGACCUUAGGGCCUCUUGCCAUCGGAUGUGCCCAGAUGGGAUUAGCUAGUAGGUGGGGUAACGGCUCACCUAGGCGACGAUCCCUAGCUGGUCUGAGAGGAUGACCAGCCACACUGGAACUGAGACACGGUCCAGACUCCUACGGGAGGCAGCAGUGGGGAAGAUUGCACAAUGGGCGCAAGCCUGAUGCAGCCAUGCCGCGUGUAUGAAGAAGGCCUUCGGGUUGUAAAGUACUUUCAGCGGGGAGGAAGGGAGUAAAGGUAAUACCUUUGCGCAUUGACGUUACCCGCAGAAGAAGCACCGGCUAACU